ACUAAUACAUGUCUUAAUCUUAAAAUAACUCGGCAACGUCAAAUAACAGUUGCAUGUAAGGCUCGUCUCGGCGGGGGUGUCUUUUUUUCUGUCUUUUUUUUAGUUAUAUUUUUAAUAACUUACACUUUUUUCCAUUAUUCUCUUUCUUUCACUAUUCUUUAUUCCUUUUAUUCUUUGUCCUUUGUUCUCUAUUCUGUUAAUUCACAUCCAUACCCUCUUAUGUGGACUUACGGUAGUUUAUUUUUUAGUUUUGGCAGAGAUAUUAGAUACAAUAUAUAUGUCUCUGGUUCUGGUAUUAUGCGAUAAGUCAAUUUCUUUUUCAUGCAGUGUCAUGAAAUAUAAUGGUUUUAUGCAUAUCAGCCAAGAUUGUGCGUCACAUUUUGAUAAACAAUUCAACACUAUAUACACGUUAUGUGAAUUUUAUUAAAAUCGAUGAAGAACAUGAAUUUGGCAGCUAGUGCCCCUUAAACAGGUAAAGUUCAAUUAAUAAAUUCUGAUCUACUGGCAUUCAACACCAAAUUACUUACUUGCUGUAUAUUGAUAAAUUUGAUUGUAUAUUGUCAAUACCUCAACAUCGAGAAUACGUCAUGUGAGGUGUUGGUCGCUAUGUUUGAUACGGGGUCACCGGUUGCGGCUUCGAGACAGAGAAAAAAAUCUAGGGCAAGAACAUUAAAGAUAAAGGGGAAACUAUAAACAGAAGAAAUUAUCAACAAAAUAAGAUUUACAGAGGUCAACAAAGCCUAAAUGGUCAGACAUCUUGAUUUUCAUGGUCAUCAUUCACAGAUCAAUACUGAACAGAAAACUUAAAGCUGAUAUUUUUCUCCAUAGUGC